rnacentral:lncRNA from 1 species
AGGCAAGUGCCACCAGCUAGUGAUGAUUCAGGACCUGGCUCGCCAGGGUGGGGAAAUACCCACGCGUCCCUUUCCCCUCGUCGCUGCCCGCCCCCCAACCUUUCCAGAUGCAAGGGGGUGGUGGGUAGGACACCGAGAACUCAGCGAGCCCCUUCAACACAGCGAGUGUCGUGUUCAUCCCGUCUUCACGCCGUCUCUACCCCGUUUAUGGACGGAUUUAUCAGCAAAUCUUCCACCAACGUCGUAAAGCUGGAUAGUCUCCAUUUUUUUCCAUCCCUACUAUGCUCAGGGAUGAGUCCAUCCUCACCUUCGUGCUGUCUAACGUCUCUUGAUCGGGGAUGAAUCCCCCGCCCCCCGAUCUUUCACAUCCAUGUAAUGCAUCGUUGUCUGGGGCUGUGAAAUGAAAUCAUGCCUUCAUUUCCUAAAAAGUAAGAGCCAUGAGUCACACAGGCUGACCUAACAAAUCUGUCUUCUUUUGCUCCGGUGGCACAAUGUAGGCAAGGAGGCAACAGAUACCUACCACAGCAAUGGGAACAGGCGACAAUGACUCACCUGUUUUUCUCAGAAGCAGUUCUAGUCUUUGGUCUGCCGGUUGGGCUGAACAUAAUGUUAACUUGGAGAACGCUUAGAAAGUUGCUUGGUAAAAUGUCUCCCCUGAGACAAGACUUUAAAACAGAUUGAUUAUGAGCCUAGCCGGUACAAACUGAUGUGCACCACCUAAGUCUCUCCGAAUCAUGGUUUUGUUUUCUGGGUUUUUAAGAGUCCAGAUGAGCCUGGCAGUGGCGGAGCACGCCUUUAAUCCCAGCUUCGGGAGGUAGAGGCAGGAGGAUCUCUGUGAGUUCGAGGCCAGCCUGGUUUACAGAGAGAGUACUAGGACAGCCAGGGAUACACAGAAAAACCUUGUCUCCAAAAACAAAAACAAAAGAGACAAAAUGGAGUCUGACUAUAAACUUUCCCAUUCAUUAUUUACCUGAGGAUGCUCUCUAGGAGGGACUGUAGACUAUUCUAGAAAGAACAUGCUCAGCCUGGAUACACAUAUGUAAUUUACUGCACAGAUUUUUAGCCUGUGUUUAAAUUCUCUGAAGUCCAGUAGCUUUCUUUACUAUAAAAUCAGUAAUAGUGCCAUAUAUUUUAAAACUGUUUUAAGAGUUGGCUCAGAUUGUAGUAUGCUUGAUUCAAGGACCACUCCUGUUUAAUAAAAUAUCCAACUGCCCUGACUGUCUAAGUGGG